GAAUAUGUAAAUAAAUCCUAAUAUUAAAAAUAUAGUUACAAUAAAAGGUGGAUAUAAUUUACACAUGUAACAUAAAAGGUUGUAAUAAAAAUUAUCCUACACAUGGCACACCCACGGAAACCGAUUCUAAACUCACUUCUGACUCUAAUCGGAGCUGUUGCCUUCUCUUCCUGUUCGCCCACCAUGACCACCCAAUCCACCAACCAUCAAAAGUCCGUCUUUGAUUUUACUGUCAAGGUAUAAUCAAGUGAAUUCGUAGUGAUUGAAUAAUGUGUUGCGAACAGAACAAGGAGAUUUAGUUCAGUUGUUUAGGAUGCUAAAGGCGAUGAUGUGGAUCUUGCUACUUAAAAGGGGAAAGUCCUGCUGAUUGUUAAUGUUGCUUCCAAAUGGUAUGCUCCUCUGCUAUAUAUAUAUGUAUCCUUUUCAGAAAUAUCUUACACAUACCAAAUAUAUAUUCGACAUUUUCAGAAAAUAUCAUUCUUAAAACUCAUGAUUCGCAGGGCCAGGAUGGAAAAAAAAUUGUAUAUCAAACGCCUCCUUAGAGAGUGUUGUCAACAUUCUUCAUUAAUUAUUAAAAGAAAACGAAAAAAAGCGAUUUCUAUUUAUUUUUAAAUGAAGAUAUAAUAUUAAUAAGA